rnacentral:rRNA from 1 species
UCCUGCCAGUAGUCAUAUGCUUGUCUCAAAGAUUAAGCCAUGCAUGUCUAAGUACGGCUCUAGUACGGUGAAACUGCGAAUGGCUCAUUAAAUCAGUUUUGGUUCAUUUGAUCGUGAAAGUUACAUGGAUAACUGUUGUAAUUCAAGAGCUAAUACACGCUAAGAGUGUCGCUCUCUGGGCGGCGCGCUUUUAUCAGACCAAAACCAAUCACCUUCGGGUGUUCAUUGUGGUGAGUCUGGAUAAACUAGCUGAUCGCAUGGUCUCGAACCGGCGAUGGAUCAUUCAAGUGUCUGACCUAUCAACUGUCGAUGGUAGCGUAUUGGGCUACCAUGGUUGUAACGGGUAACGGAGAAUUAGGGUUUGGUUCCGGAGAGGGAGUCUGAGAAACGGCUACCACAUCUAAGGAAGGCAGCAGGCGCGCAAAUUACCCAUUCCCGACUCGGGGAGGUAGUGACGAAAAAUAACAAUUCAAGACUCUUAACGAGGCCUUGAAGUUGGAAUGAGUACACUUUAAAACUUUUAACGAGUAACUAUUGGAGGGCAAGUCUGGUGCCAGCAGCCGCGGUAAUUCCAGCUCCAAUAGCGUAUACUAAAGUUGUUGCGGUUAAAAAGCUCGUAGUUGGAUCUUGGAAUGUGUUCAAGCGGGUCAGCUUCUGGCUGUUCGCUGCUUGACGUGUUCUUCUAUUUGGUUUUGGUGCGGUGCGCUUAACUGCGUGUCGCUCCCGGCCGAAACGUUUACCUUGAAAAAAUUAGAGUGUUCAAAGCAGACCUGUUUGAGUCUGAAUAUUCGUGCAUGGAAUAAUGAAAUAUGAAUUCGGUUCUAUUUUGUUGGUUUUCGGAACUCGAGUUAAUGAUCAAGAGGGACAGACGGGGGCAUUCGUACUCUGCCGUUAGAGGUGAAAUUCUUGGAUCGGCGGAAGACGCGCAACUGCGAAAGCAUUUGCCAAGAAUGUUUUCUUUAAUCAAGAACGAUAGUCGGAGGUUCGAAGACGAUCAGAUACCGUCCUAGUUUCGACUGUAAACUAUGCCAGCUAACGAUCAGACAGAGUUCUCUACGACUUGUCUGGCAGUUUCCGGGAAACCAAAGCGUUUGGGUUCCGGGGGAAGUAUGGUUGCAAAGCUGAAACUUAAAGGAAUUGACGGA